rnacentral:rRNA from 1 species
AUUGAACGCUGGCGGCAGGCCUAACACAUGCAAGUCGAGCGGAUGACGGGAGCUUGCUCCUGGAUUCAGCGGCGGACGGGUGAGUAAUGCCUAGGAAUCUGCCUGGUAGUGGGGGACAACGUUUCGAAAGGAACGCUAAUACCGCAUACGUCCUACGGGAGAAAGCAGGGGACCUUCGGGCCUUGCGCUAUUAGAUGAGCCUAGGUCGGAUUAGCUUGUUGGUGAGGUAAUGGCUCACCAAGGCGACGAUCCGUAACUGGUCUGAGAGGAUGAUCAGUCACACUGGAACUGAGACACGGUCCAGACUCCUACGGGAGGCAGCAGUGGGGAAUAUUGGACAAUGGGCGAAAGCCUGAUCCAGCCAUGCCGCGUGUGUGAAGAAGGUCUUCGGAUUGUAAAGCACUUUAAGUUGGGAGGAAGGGUUGUAGAUUAAUACUCUGCAAUUUUGACGUUACCGACAGAAUAAGCACCGGCUAACUCUGUGCCAGCCGCCGCCGUAA